rnacentral:rRNA from 1 species
CCUUAGUAAAGUGGCGUACGGGUGAGUAACGCGUAGGUAAUCUACCCUAGAAUCUGGAAUAACCUGCCGAAAGGCGGGCUAAUACUGGAUAGAGCGAGGAAUCCGUAAUAGGGUUUUUCGGGAAAGGGGGCUCGCAAGAGCUCUUGUUCUAGGAUGAGCCUGCGUCUCAUUAGCUAGUUGGUGGGGUAAAGGCCCACCAAGGCUUUGAUGGGUAGCUGGUCUGAGAGGAUGAUCAGCCACACUGGAACUGAAACACGGUCCAGACUCCUACGGGAGGCAGCAGUGGGGAAUCUUGCGCAAUGGACGAAAGUCUGACGCAGCCACGCCGCGUGAGUGAAGAAGGCCUUCGGGUUGUAAAGCUCUGUCGGGCGGGACGAAAACCUUUAGGGCUAAUACCCCUAGAGAUUGACGGUACCGCCAAAGGAAGCACCGGCUAACUUCGUGCCAGCAGCCGCGGUAAUACGAGGGGUGCGAGCGUUGCUCGGAAUUAUUGGGCGUAAAGGGUAGGUAGGUGGUCUUAUUUGUCUGGGGUGAAAUCCUUGAGCUUAACUCAAGAAGUGCCCUAGAAACGGUAAGACUAGAGUCCUGGAGAGGGUCGUGGAAUUCCCGGUGUAGCGGUGAAAUGCGUAGAGAUCGGGAGGAACACCAGAGGCGAAGGCGGCGACCUGGACAGGUACUGACACUCAAC